rnacentral:rRNA from 1 species
CCGGGAUUGGUAUGAUACUAGCCAUGCUAGUCAUUGUAGUAAUCAAGGCAGACGGCUCAGUAACGCGUCCAUAAAAUAACCUAUGGACGGGAAUAACCUCGGGAAACUGACUUUAAUGCCCGAUAGAACAUUAUGCCUGGAAUGGUUUGUGUUCCAAAUGAUUUAUCGCCGAAGUAUGGCACUCCGUCCUAUGAGUUGGUUGGUGAGACAUGGCCCACAUGCAUAUUAGCGGAACGGCAUCUGGAUCAAUGGCCCGGAAAUUGGACUGAGGACUGAACCAAGGCCUAUGGGGCCCAACUGAGAAAAUGCUUGCAAUGUGCCUAUGGCCGCUAGGGUAACCCGGUGGGUUCCGGGAAAAAAACCCUUUGUCGUUUCUUAAAAAACCCGAUAAAAAAGGGGUGGUUUACUGUUGGUGUCAACCGCCGCCGUAAAAUCGUGGCGCUCACGUGGUCAGGAGAGAUAUUGAUUCUAAACGUCCGAGAGCCGCUCUCUUUAGCUUUGGUUAAAUCUGUCUCCUCAACGUAAAGCGGGGUUGGCAUACUGAAGAAAAUGGGAGCGGGAGAUUUAGAAGGCCCUCUAUAGGAAUAGGGAAACUCCUUUUCUCUAUUUUUGACUAGCUGGGGGGAACGCGGAAUACAACAAACAUCCGAAAGAGAGGUUUUGAACUUUGGGGAGGCAAACCGAAUUAAUAUCCAGGGG